rnacentral:tRNA from 1 species
CCCUGGGUGGCGCAAAUGGUAACGCACUUGGCUGCUAAUCAAAUGACUGGUGGUUCGAGUCCACCCAGGGG